UGAGGAAUAUUGGACAAUGGGCGGUAGCCUGAUCCAGCCAUGCCGCGUGCAGGAAGAAUGUCCUAUGGACUGUAAACUGCUUUUGUACGGGAAGAACCGGGGGCACGCGUGCCCCCCUGACGGUACCGUAAGAAUAAGGAUCGGCUAACUCCGUGCCAGCAGCCGCGGUAAUACGGAGGAUCCGAGCGUUAUCCGGAAUCAUUGGGUUUAAAGGGUCCGUAGGCGGGCCGUUAAGUCAGGGGUGAAAGUCUGCGGCUCAACCGUAGAACUGCCCUUGAUACUGGCGGCCUUGAGUUAUGGUGAAGUAGCCAGAAUAUGUGGUGUAGCGGUGAAAUGCAUAGAUAUCACAUGGAAUACCGAUUGCGAAGGCAGGCUACUAACCAUAUACUGACGCUGAUGGACGAAAGCGUGGGUAGCGAACAGG
rnacentral:rRNA from 2 species